CCUACGGGAGGCAGCAGUAGGGAAUCUUCCACAAUGGACGAAAGUCUGAUGGAGCAACGCCGCGUGAGUGAAGGAGUGUUUCGGCUCGUAAAGCUCUGUUGGUAGUGAAGAAAGAUGGAGGUAGUAACUGGCCUUUAUUUGACGGUAAUUACUUAGAAAGUCACGGCUAACUACGUGCCAGCAGCCGCGGUAAUACGUAGGUGGCAAGCGUUGUCCGGAUUUAUUGGGCGUAAGGCGAGUGCAGGCGGUGCGAUAAGUCUGAUGUGAAAGCCUUCGGCUCAACCGGGGAAUUGCAUCAGAAACGGUUGAACUUGAGUGCAGAAGAGGAGGGUGGAAGUCCAUGUGUAGCGGUGGAAUGCGUAGAUAUAAGGAAGAACACCAGUGGCGAAGGCGGCUUUCUGGUCUGCAACUGACGUUGAGGCUCGAAAGCAUGGGUAGCGAACAGGAUUAGAUACCCUAGUAGUC
rnacentral:rRNA from 1 species